rnacentral:scRNA from 1 species
UCUGGUGGAUACACAGUCAACCAUGGAGACAAACGAGGAAAUAUCAUUUGUCUGCAGAAGGCAACAAUUCUACAUACACGUGAGGUCUCCGAUCAUUACUUUCCAUACAAC